rnacentral:lncRNA from 1 species
GGUGCAAGAUGAUGUUGUUGGCAUCUUUAUGACAUCUAUAAAUAGGUGGACACUUGGGGUUUCAAAUUCAUUCCAAACCAUCUCUUCUUCCUUACACUCUUGUCCCAAUAUUCUUCUUCCUUCCCCUUUUAUGAUCAAGUCCAAAUUAGGACAAGGGGUCUGCUUUAAGAUAAGGGCUUAGGAAAAAAAAUAGGCAAGAUAGGGAAAUAGAAAGUAAGAGAAAUAGAAAGCUAGAUAGAGGGA